GACGAACGCUGGCGGCGUGCUUAACACAUGCAAGUCGAACGGUAAGGCCCUUCGGGGUACACGAGUGGCGAACGGGUGAGUAACACGUGGGUGAUCUGCCCUGCACUUCGGGAUAAGCCUGGGAAACUGGGUCUAAUACCGGAUAGGACCACUGCCUGCAUGGGUGGUGGUGGAAAGCUUUUGUGGUGUGGGAUGGGCCCGCGGCCUAUCAGCUUGUUGGUGGGGUGAUGGCCUACCAAGGCGACGACGGGUAGCCGGCCUGAGAGGGUGACCGGCCACACUGGGACUGAGACACGGCCCAGACUCCUACGGGAGGCUGCAGUGGGGAAUCUUGCGCAAUGCGCGAAAGCGUGACGCAGCAACGCCGCGUGAGGGAAGAAGGCCUUCGGGUUGUAAACCUCUUUCAGCACCGACGAAGCGCAAGUGACGGUAGGUGCAGAAGAAGGACCGGCCAACUACGUGCCAGCCGCCGCCGUAA
rnacentral:rRNA from 1 species